AAACUUUCAACAAUGGAUCUCUUGGUUCCGGCAUCGAUGAAGAACGCAGCGAAAUGCGAUAACUAGUGUGAAUUGCAGAAUUCCGUGAAUCAUCGAGUCUUUGAACGCACAUUGCGCCCCCUGGUAUUCGGGGGGCAUGCCUGUCCGAGCGUCAUUG
rnacentral:rRNA from 1 species